rnacentral:rRNA from 1 species
CGUGUAGGCGGUCAGGUAAGUGGGACGUGAAAUGCCUCGGCUCACCCGAGGAGCUGCGUCCCAAACUGCUUGGCUUGAGUAUGGGAGAGGAUGUGGGAAUUCCUGGUGUAGCGGUGAAAUGCGUAGAUAUCAGGAGGAACACCGGUGGCGAAGGCGCACAUCUGGCCCAAUACUGACGCUGAGGCGCAAGCUAGGGAGCAAACG